UGACCUCGGAUCACGUAAGGAUACCCGAUGAACUUAAGCAUAAAAAUAAGCGGAGGAA
rnacentral:rRNA from 1 species